UCUGAUUAGCUAGUUGGUAGGGUAAAAGCCUACCAAGGCAUCGAUCAGUAACUGGUCUGAGAGGAUGACCAGUCACACUGGGACUGAGACACGGCCCAGACUCCUACGGGAGGCAGCAGUGGGGAAUUUUCCGCAAUGGGCGAAAGCCUGACGGAGCAAUACCGCGUGAGGGAGGAAGGCUCUUGGGUUGUAAACCUCUUUUCUCAGGGAAGAACAAAAUGACGGUACCUGAGGAAUCAGCAUCGGCUAACUCCGUGCCAGCAGCCGCGGUAAUACGGAGGAUGCAAGCGUUAUCCGGAAUGAUUGGGCGUAAAGCGUCCGCAGGUAGCUGCUUCAAGUCUGCUGUCAAAGCUCAGGGCUUAACCCUGAAUCGGCGGUGGAAACUGAACAGCUAGAGUGCGGUAGGGGUAGAGGGAAUUCCCAGUGUAGCGGUGAAAUGCGUAGAGAUUGGGAAGAACACCAGUGGCGAAAGCGCUCUGCUGGACCGCAACUGACACUCAUGGACGAAAGCUAGGGGAGCGAAUGGGAUUAGAUACCCCAGUAGUCCUAGCC
rnacentral:rRNA from 1 species